rnacentral:rRNA from 1 species
AUUGAACGCUGGCGGCAGGCCUAACACAUGCAAGUCGAGCGCGCGGCGGACGGGUGAGUACUGUAUGGGGACUGCCCGAUAGAGGGGGAUCACUACUGGAAACGGUAGCUAAUACCGCAUACUAUCGGAUAACCCAUAUGGGAUUAGCUAGUAGGUGAGGUAAUGGCUCACCUAGGCGACGAUCCCUAGCUGGGCUGAGAGGAUGAUCAGCCACACUGGGACUGAGACCCGGCCCAGACUCCUACGGGGGCAGCAGUGGGGAAUAUUGCACAAGGGGCGCAAGCCUGAUGCAGCCAUGCCGCGUGGAUGAAGAAGGCCCUAGGUUUGUAAAGUACUUUCAGUCGGGAGGCGUUACCGACAGAAGAAGCACCGGCUAACUCCGUGCCAGCAGCCGCGGUAAUUC